rnacentral:lncRNA from 1 species
CCCAGCUUUUAUUUGGUCGUAACUCUCGUGGCCUAGUCAUGAUAAAAUAUUUGAAUUAGUCUGUAUCUUGUAUUUGCAAACUCUAUGCAAAUCAGUCUUUACUGACUGUAGAGAUUUGUUGUCCAUAGAAAAUUUUCUAUUAGCCUAUUGUCCACGGCAUGUAGUAAAACACUGACUACCGGAACACCGGAACACCACCGGAACACCACCGGAACACCACCGGAACACCACCGGAACACCACCGGAACACCACCUAACCCUAACCCUAACCCCAACCCUAACCCCCAACCCUAACCCUAAUCCUAACCCCAAACCCUAAUCCUAACCCCAAACAAAAUGGUGGUGUUCCGGUGUUCCGGUAGUCAGUGUUUUACUACAUGCCCAACCUCGUACCCAGGGUUUUAUCUCCGCUGGGCGGUGAGCGGAGAUAAAACCCUGGGUACGAGGUUGCUACAUGCCAUUGUCCACUUUAACAAAACCUUAAGGUUACAGAACACCUUUGAGUGUUAAUUUUGCCUAAACUUUUUUUAUUGGUUGCCAUGAAAGCAUUAGACUAGUUCUACUAUCUGACCAAGUUUGAACGAAAAAUGUUGAAAACUCGCAGAGUUAUUUAAUAAAAUACAUUUCGCUGCAAUAAGAAAAACAUUGAAAAUGUAAUAUUCAAAUUCAAUUUUCUCCCGAAAAAGUUUACGGUAAUUACUGAUUUUCAAACGAGUUGUGCUCCUGCGGGUUUUAACCAAUUGUUCCCAAAUUUUCACAGGACAUAGCUAAAGACGUCAGUUUCAAAAUUGUGUUCGGCUUUUUUUAAAUUUUGGAUAUUUUAAAAAUAAAGAGCAAUUCACUCAAACAAUUCAGAAAUAUAUUGCAGUCGUCAAAGAAAUCGCCAUAUCAGCGGAAUGACGAAAUCACAGUUUUUUAGAACAACUAUUUUACUGUAUAAAAAUGAUAUUUUCAUAAAUAUAACUUAAAACCAGCAGGAGCACAACUCGAAAGCGUAAAGGUAUCGCGAUUUAAGAUUUUCCUGAAUAAUUCUUACAUUAUCGGACAAAAAAAUCGGACUGAUAUUGAGCGCGCAGUAGCGAUUUUCCGCAAAACGCCAAAAAGGGUGUCCUGUAACCUUAAAGGCCCGUUUGUAAUUUUAAAUGUUAAGUUUAAAUUAUUUUCUACUUCUAAAGCAUGUGAACGAGUAGAUGUGUUAUGAAUGUUCUAGUUAUAUACCCUCAUCUAAACAUUAUUCAAGGAAAACAGGGAAGAAAAAUCAUAAGCGUAAAGAAAAAUUAUUUUGAGGAAAACACAAAGAAAAAUCAUAAGCGUGUCGUAUCUUUAUACGUGAUAGAGAUUUCCCUUGAUUUACAUAAACUUUAACUUUGAUUUUCUCGAUUUACACAACGUAUUUUUUGAAAAUUACUUCGCCAAUGAACUUACUAUUUACUAUAAAAUCGAUCGUUUUUGAAGCAAUUUAAAACAUUCGCAGUGCGUGUUUUAUCAGACCUAAAGAUACUCGGCUUCGUCUCGUGGCUUUACACCCGUUUUCAAAAUUACGCGACCAAAGACGAAAAUGCUAGAGUUGACAUGUCAGUUUUAUGUCAUUCGAUCACGAAGUUCAAACUUUGAGUUUUGCGGUUCCUUGUCGAUGUAUAUGCUUUGUAUGCUUUAUAUAAACAG